GCCAGGCUCCCUGGGCUCGAAUCCUGGAUGACCCUGGAGCCAGCUUCCUGACCUCUCUGUGCCUCAGUGUCCUGUCUGAACUGAGAACAUAGCAGUGCUGACCCACAGGGGCUGAAAGGAUGGAUUUCCGGAUGGCAGCUGUUCCUGCUCUCCCUGGGAACUGUCAGGAGCCCUCCCUUCUCCUGGUCCCCAAAAAGAUUCCAGGCAAUCAUGUCACCGCCACCUCGUAUGUCUGUGUCGCCCUGCAGUUCGCAAAGUGCUCUUGCAGUCACGAGCUCAGUUGAGUCUCGACUGAGUCACAAGGCAGAGACUGUCAAUCCUGUCUCCCAGGCGUCUCCUUCCCUCUUGGCUCUGUGGAAGGAGGAAGGAAGCAGGCCACAUGCGACACAGCUGGAAACACUGGCUCCAUUCAUGGUUCUCAAGCUGCAUGCCCC
rnacentral:lncRNA from 1 species